GGAUAUGUGGCUAUAUGAGAUAUAGACACCUAGCCCACUAAGUUCCACUAAUUGUUAGUGGAAUAUUAGGUGUUGAGAUUUGGCAAUUGAAUUGCAUGCAUUUUUGCAUGUAAUUAGGCUAUAAAUAGAGAUGUUUUCAAAUGUUGAAGGACUUUUGCCUCUUUUAUCAUUUUCAUAAUCUCAACAAAAGAAGAAAAAAACUUCCAAUCUCAUUUUAUCUCCAUUAUUUUCUACACCAAAAUUGGGUCCCACAACCCGGUUCUUUGUCUAGAGGAUAGCAGUUGAGUACUAGUGGUGGUCUCGGGUAGAAUUGGUAAGAAGACAUCAAACCUUUUGUAAGCUUCAAAGGUAAUACUUCUUAAAACCCUAAUUUGAUUAGUUUAUGGUUACAUGUUAAUUGUGGCAAUUAGGGUAGAAAUUCGAUUCUUUUUCCGCUGUGCAUGACUUAGUUCUAUCAGGAGAAAUCUAAACGUAUACAAAUAUUUCCAUUGAUCCAAUUGUGCAUAACGUGUUUUCCAAGGCAAUCAAUGUUUUUCCUUCAAUAUGCACAUUUAACAUCAUAUAAAGCAUUGCAAACAUAUGAUUGGAUUGUUCCUAAAUUAAAGACACGUUUAAAAGUUCAGAAACCAUGUAUAAGAACGCACAUACAAGAGUUUACACACUGUGUGAAAUUCGAUUGCAACUAGUGUGGGAGAUGUAGAGAAAAAGAUAUGAGAUUUUUCUUGAUCCCUUCAAUUAUGUUUUAUUUUAUAUAAAUAACAUUUGAAACUAUAUGCAAUGGCAUGCUCUAGCUAAACCAUGCAUUAAUAUUUCAUUUCAAAAUAUCUUUUCUAGUUCCAAGGAAAGCACAUAUUAUAAGUUCCAGUGUCUUUUGGGUGCAUCAAACAAGGGCCAUCUCGAUAAAUUUCCCACGAGCAAUUAGUGCAACGAUUCAUGUCCCUGUGAAAGUUAUAGAUGGUGAAGUUGUGCAUCUCGCCUUGCACAAAUUCAAAGCCGCAAGUAAAUUCUGUUGUGCCCCAAAUAUUAGGUUUAAAGUGAAAGGAGUAACUACGUCCAGACUCAAGGGAAUGGACUCCCAAGUCAUCGUCCUUUGACCUACAGUGAACGCCUAGCACUGGGCCAGCCAAUUUAUUAAUAGUGGUCACUGUUGUUUCAGGUGGACCAAUUGAGAUUAAUUCUUCAUCAGCAUAUAGCGUGAUGAAAAGUAUUUGUAAAACCAAGAAUGCAAGUGCCAACGAGGAAUUCAUUAUGCUUUCGAAUCGAGAGAGAAAGAUAAGUAAUGUCCAAAGGACUAUGCUUUUCUUUUGUUGUUGGACACAAUGGAAUGUUUCGAAACAUCACACAGACAUAUAUAGGAGAGUAAAGGAAUACAAAUCUUUUUUCAAAUGGUUAAAUGGUAAUUUUGUGAUCGUUAUGCAACUUUUCAUUUUAGAAGCAGGAACCGCGAUAGUUUGAAUCAAAUGGUGAAAGAGCGCAUUAAACAACUACAUAUUGGUAGUGACAUUCCACAAUUAAUAAAAGAAAAAGAAAAUAAGUUGUAAAACAAUUCACGAAAUGAUUGUUAUGUUUAACCACAUGAGGUUAAUUUUUACAUCCCAACUCAACACUAUUCCUUUUCCGUUUGUUUUGUCUUCUCUUUUUCUUCAAGUUACGUACUAAUAAGGAUGGUUGGAAGACAAUAAAUUAGGGAAAGAGUGUGGGUUUAGGUUACAUUUCAGCAUUUAGUUAAAUUAUAGGUUGAUACGCUUUUUAAUUUGUAUUGUGUAUAUACAAAAUAACAUAUCUUGUUGUUGGUAUUUUAUUAAUGCCACAUCAAAUUUCUAAUUAGGAGAUUCUUCAACCUGUAUGUUUAGUUAGUCCGUGCUUGGAUUGGAAUGUUGGGUUGAUUAAUUUAAAUCUUAAAAUAAUAAUUGUAUCGAUUUAAAUCCUAAACUUCGCCGGGUGUAUCAAUUUAAACCUCAACUAAACUAAUAAUAGUAUCGAUUUGAACAUUGCACUUCAAUUAGUCUAUCAUUCACCUCCUCUUCAACUUCUUCCCCCCCUCUUCCUCCCCUUACCAUCAUGCAAACGUUUAACAUGAAACAUCUUUACCAACACAUUUUUCAAUGUGCAUCACUCAAGCAAAAUGAAAUACAUCGUCCGACAUAAAAGAUAGGUGGUAACUUAAUUAUUUCCAUUAGAUGUUGUUCACCAUCACAUUCGAUUAAUAUAUAUGUAUAUACAUAAACGAUCUGUAACUGUGUGCUUGCUUGCCAAUAUUUUCCUUCGCUGCCUUGUGGGGCAUAAAACAAAAUAUUUUGAGGUUACACCAAAACGGUCUAGUGAGUGGAGGUUUUCAUCAACACAUUUAAUAGAACACACUCUCGCCAUAACGCAUUACAAAAGUUCUUUCCACAACACCACGCAAUAUAAAUAAGUACGCAUUUCAAUAGAAAUAUGAGUUUAAAUUGGAAAAUCAUUCCGCUGCGUUUGGCGAUUUACACAUUCAAAUCUCAUUGGCAAAUAUUCAUAGCAACCCAUUUCCUUGCAAAUUCAUUUCAUCAUAAAAUCACAUCGCAUGGGAGAGCAUUUCGCAUAACAAUUUCCAUCUUUCGUACCAUGCUAAGCUCAAGAGUCAACACGCUCUUAUCGCUGAGUUGCAGCUGUACGGAGAAAUCUAAACGUAUACAAAUAUUUCCAUUGAUCCAAUUGUGCAUAACGUGUUUUCCAAGGCAAUCAAUGUUUUUCCUUCAAUAUGCACAUUUAACAUCAUAUAAAGCAUUGCAAACAUAUGAUUGGAUUGUUCCUAAAUUAAAGACACGUUUAAAAGUUCAGAAACCAUGUAUAAGAACGCACAUACAAGAGUUUACACACUGUGUGAAAUUCGAUUGCAACUAGUGUGGGAGAUGUAGAGAAAAAGAUAUGAGAUUUUUCUUGAUCCCUUCAAUUAUGUUUUAUUUUAUAUAAAUAACAUUUGAAACUAUAUGCAAUGGCAUGCUCUAGCUAAACCAUGCAUUAAUAUUUCAUUUCAAAAUAUCUUUUCUAGUUCCAAGGAAAGCACAUAUUAUAAGUUCCAGUGUCUUUUGGGUGCAUCAAACAAGGGCCAUCUCGAUAAAUUUCCCACGAGCAAUUAGUGCAACGAUUCAUGUCCCUGUGAAAGUUAUAGAUGGUGAAGUUGUGCAUCUCGCCUUGCACAAAUUCAAAGCCGCAAGUAAAUUCUGUUGUGCCCCAAAUAUUAGGUUUAAAGUGAAAGGAGUAACUACGUCCAGACUCAAGGGAAUGGACUCCCAAGUCAUCGUCCUUUGACCUACAGUGAACGCCUAGCACUGGGCCAGCCAAUUUAUUAAUAGUGGUCACUGUUGUUUCAGGUGGACCAAUUGAGAUUAAUUCUUCAUCAGCAUAUAGCGUGAUGAAAAGUAUUUGUAAAACCAAGAAUGCAAGUGCCAACGAGGAAUUCAUUAUGCUUUCGAAUCGAGAGAGAAAGAUAAGUAAUGUCCAAAGGACUAUGCUUUUCUUUUGUUGUUGGACACAAUGGAAUGUUUCGAAACAUCACACAGACAUAUAUAGGAGAGUAAAGGAAUACAAAUCUUUUUUCAAAUGGUUAAAUGGUAAUUUUGUGAUCGUUAUGCAACUUUUCAUUUUAGAAGCAGGAACCGCGAUAGUUUGAAUCAAAUGGUGAAAGAGCGCAUUAAACAACUACAUAUUGGUAGUGACAUUCCACAAUUAAUAAAAGAAAAAGAAAAUAAGUUGUAAAACAAUUCACGAAAUGAUUGUUAUGUUUAACCACAUGAGGUUAAUUUUUACAUCCCAACUCAACACUAUUCCUUUUCCGUUUGUUUUGUCUUCUCUUUUUCUUCAAGUUACGUACUAAUAAGGAUGGUUGGAAGACAAUAAAUUAGGGAAAG
rnacentral:lncRNA from 1 species